UCUUGUUUUGGUUUAUAUCCUUUCUACAAUUGAAAAGCAUCUUCUCUUUAGCAUAUUUAGAUCUUUUCACACAAAGCUUAUGAAGCCUAAUUUGAGCCUGUUAAUCUUUUUCUUGGUAACCCAUAGACAAGCACAGCUGCACUGCUAAAAACGCAGUGUUUAUCCACAAUCACCGGGUCUGGGCAGCCCGCAGCGUUCCAGAGAUCAAAGUUUAAAACAGAUAUGCCAGUCCUUCCUAAUUGUUUGUGUUUAAGCACACAGCACCACGAAGUCUAAAUUGCUGCUGCUGAAAGCUUGUGCUGAGCUUGGGCCUAUGUUGAAGUGAGUGCAGCCCCUCCUGCACCCUGGCUUUAGCAGAAAGGUUUUAUUAAAAAUGCCUGGUGAGAAGCAGACUGCAGUGACAUACUACGUUGGAGUUGACGUGGGCUCAGCCAGUGUUCGCGCGGCGCUGGUGGACGGCUUUGGGACGGUGGUGGCACACGCAGAGCACCCCAUCCAGGUUUGGGAGCCCCAGCCAGACCACUAUGAGCAAUCCUCUGCAGACAUCUGGGCUGCCUGCUGCUCUGUCACAAAGGAAGUUGUCCGUGGAGUGGAUGCCAGCCAGAUUCGAGGGCUUGGGUUUGAUGCUACCUGUUCCCUUGUUGUGGUGGAUGAACAGUUCCAACCUUUGGCAGUCAACUCUGAAGGACAGAACCAUAGGAAUGUGAUCAUGUGGAUGGACCAUCGUGCAGUGAGCCAAGUCCAGCGCAUCAAUGCCACCCAGCACAGGGUUCUGAACUACGUAGGGGGAGCCAUGUCUGUGGAAAUGCAGCCUCCUAAAUUGCUCUGGAUAAAGGAAAACUUGCCAGAAUCGUGGGAGAAGGUUGGCUACUUCUUUGAUCUUCCGGAUUUCUUAUCUUGGAAAGCCACAGGUGUCACUGCAAGGUCUCUCUGUACAGUAGUGUGCAAGUGGACAUACACAUCAGAUAGAGGUUGGGAUGACAGUUUCUGGAAUAUGAUUGGUUUGGAAGAUUUGGUGAUGGAUAAGUAUGAAAAAAUAGGAAACCACGUCCUGUCUCCUGGAGAGGCUGUUGGGAAAGGUCUGACACCAGAGGCUGCGGAAGAUCUCGGGCUCCCCAAAGGGAUUGCAGUGGCAGCAUCUCUCAUUGAUGCACAUGCUGGAGGACUAGGAGUAAUUGGAGCAGAUGUGAAAGGACACAACCUUCCGUGUGAGAACCAGCCCAUUACAUCUCGAGUGGCUAUGAUCUGUGGAACAUCUUCUUGCCACAUGGGGGUCAGUGAAACCCCCAUUUUUGUGCCUGGUGUUUGGGGACCGUAUUUCUCUGCUAUGGUACCUGGAUUGUGGUUGAAUGAGGGAGGCCAGAGUGCUACAGGAAAAUUGAUCGAUCAUGUGGUGCGAGGCCACGUCGCCUUCCCAGAACUAGAGGCAAAGGCUGCAGCCAGUGCUCACAGUAUAUAUACAUACUUGAACAGUCACCUGGAUCUGAUUAAGAAAUCUUUGCCUGUGGGUUUCCUCACUGUUGAUUUACAUGUUUGGCCAGAUUUCCAUGGUAACAGAUCUCCCUUAACAGAUCUGACACUAAAGGGCAUGGUUGUUGGACUAACAUUGUCUCGGGGUCUGGAUGAACUUGCCCUUAUCUACCUGGCCACGAUCCAAGCCAUUGCUUUAGGAACAAGACAUAUUUUGGAGGCGAUGCAGGCUGCAGGACAUGAGAUCAGCACGCUGUUCCUGUGUGGUGGGCUGAGCAAGAACCCUCUCUUUGUGCAGAUGCAUGCUGACAUUACUGGCAAGCCUGUUGUGCUGUCCAAAGAAGUGGAGUCUGUUUUGGUGGGUGCUGCUAUUCUUGGAGCUUGUGCUUCUGGGGAUUUUGCAUCUAUCCAGGAGGCCAUGGCAAAAAUGGGGAAAAUUGGGAGAGUCGUGCAGCCCAACCACGAGCAUAAAAGAUUUUAUGACAAGAAAUACAAAGUAUUUUUGAAGCUUGUGGAGCACCAGAGAGAGUAUCGCUCCAUCAUGAACAGCUUGUGAUCCAGAGGCAUGGGAGCUGGGAACAGCAGGUGAAUUUCCAGGCAUGUGUGAUGCGGAAGGGAAGCAAUCACUGUGUCAUCAGCUGCUCCAAGAGUCCUGCAGAGAGGCCCAAGCUUCACUCACAUGGAGAAGACAAGAAUAUGAUGGUUCCAAAGAAACAAAGAGAAAGUAUUGGGAAAAAACUCCAUGGAGACCCACCUGGGUGAAGAGUCCUCACAAGGCAAGAGUCAGGAAUGACAACCUGUCAUACAGGGCAACUUGCAGGACUUCUCCAGGUGAGAAUUCCAG